AAAUAGACCAAAGCUGUGCUCCAAACCAACCCAUCACUAUCUGAAACAACUCUCCAGUCCUCCUGAUAACAUCUGUUUUGGUGCUUUGGAGGACAUCUGACGGGUCAUGUUUUGUAAAAGCUUUCCAUUACCCAAGGCACAAGCAAAAAGCUAAAAUGAAGGUUUAUUGACUUCCUCAGUCAUGGGCCUCAGUCACGAAAUGCACGAGGCCAUCAUGCAUUCCUCGAGCGCCUUUUAUUUCAAGGGGUGUGUCAAGCAUCCACAGGGAUCCUGUUCAGGCCACCAGCCAGAAAUAUGGGCUUACAAAGUUUAGGACCACAAGGAUUUAGUCAUAGUGAAGAGCUAUGCUAAUAAUGGAGAACAAAACACUGGCAACUACAUAAGGAUCUUUCACUUGUUCCACUUGGCAGUUCAUGACUCCUUUGGCCACUGACAGCUGGAUCCUGGUUCCUCAUUAGAUGUAUACCCAAACUUCUCUCUUGAAGUUUAGCCAGAGGAUCAGACAUCCAAGGAAGUAGGAUCAGUCUUGUCAUAGUCAUUUCUUGCAGCAAUAGUGUCUCUAGUUGACCAACAUUUAAGCUUUCUCAUAGCCGUUCUUUCUUGUUCAGUUGCCACCUGUUUAACCUGUAACCACUGCAAGUGUUUUGCUUGUAAAAGUGAGGGGCUUAUAGCCUUUGUGCCAGUAGUCAUCCUAACAGUCUAGCCCCAUCAAAUCUUUUUAGCAAGAUAAGUAGCCCUAUUGAGACUAAUGCCCAUAUUCAUACGCUGGAAAUACAUUCUACAUGUUUAUAAAAGCCAAGUUAUGUGCAUGUUGCCUUUGAGGACUAAUAGCACAGUUCUGUAAGACCAUGCCAUGAGAAACAGAAAAGAAACAUUUUGGCCACUGAAUUAUAGCUCAAGUUGGUAAGAUAGGGAUCUUUUGAACAGUGUAUGAGGUACAGAUCCAUUACAGAAUUCCUAAACAUUCCCAGAGUGAGCAAAUAUGAAGUGAAUAGUUAAAUUUGCCUUCCUUUUUUUUAAUUUAAUUUUAUUUUUUUUAUUUUCAUGGGUUUCCAUCAAAAACAUUUGCUUAAAAUUUGGAACGUUUCUUAAAAGUUUUGCAGAUCCAUAUGUGUGUUUUGUGCUUUUGCUGUCUUCAUAGUCUUGGAUUUCAACAUCAAUUGUUCCCAUAGUUAUCUUCAACACUGUUCUCUAAAUACAGUCUGAUGUCGCCUGAAGUGUGUUUUGACAUACUGGCUUUAGUUGAGAGGUAGAUAUGUAUUGUUUUGUUUUGUAUUUGUCUUUUAGUUUGUCAGCACUGAAGUAAAUGUGCUGAGACUGUAGCUUAUUAACCACAUUACAUCAUAGACAAUCAUAACUGUUUUUUACUUUAUAUUACCCAACUCUGUUUAUUUCUGUUGUUUACAAGCACACUAAACAGGCACCAUCUUUUCACUACAUAGAUGUGAUUAUGUUGAGAAAGUCCUGAUUCACUUCUGAAAUACUAG